GGGGGGGGGGGGGGGGGGGCGGGGGGGGGGCGGGGCGAGCGGGGGGGCGGGAAGCUGGCUUGGCUGAGGUUAGCGGCGGGCGGGGGAGUAACACGUGGAUAACCUACCUAUAAGACUGGGAUAACUUCGGGAAACCGGAGCUAAUACCGGAUACUCUUUUGAACCGCAUGGUUCAAAAGUGAAAGACGGUCUUGCUGUCACUUAUAGAUGGAUCUGCGCUGCAUUAGCUAGUUGGUAAGGUAACGGCUUACCAAGGCAACGAUGCAUAGCCGACCUGAGAGGGUGAUCGGCCACACUGGAACUGAGACACGGUCCAGACUCCUACGGGAGGCAGCAGUAGGGAAUCUUCCGCAAUGGGCGAAAGCCUGACGGAGCAACGCCGCGUGAGUGAUGAAGGUCUUCGGAUCGUAAAACUCUGUUAUUAGGGAAGAACAUAUGUGUAAGUAACUGUGCACAUCUUGACGGUACCUAAUCAGAAAGCCACGGCUAACUACGUG
rnacentral:rRNA from 1 species